rnacentral:rRNA from 1 species
CGGCGGACGGGUGAGUAACGCGUGGGUGACCUGCCUCAUACAGGGGGAUAACAGUUGGAAACGGCUGCUAAUACCGCAUAAGCGCACAGUACCGCAUGGUACGGUGUGAAAAACUCCGGUGGUAUGAGAUGGACCCGCGUCUGAUUAGGUAGUUGGUGGGGUAACGGCCUACCAAGCCGACGAUCAGUAGCCGACCUGAGAGGGUGACCGGCCACAUUGGGACUGAGACACGGCCCAA